GACUCCACCCGCCGCCCCUCCCUUUCCCACGUGCUUCUCAAAUUGCGCAGGCGCUCUCCUUGUCAGAGGCUGAGCCGUGGAGCAGGCGCGGAGGAGUUGCCGGCGGGGCCUUGGGCACGCUUCGGGACGCCAGUGCGCGUGCGCGGGACUAGAGCCACAGUCCUUGGGGGAGCACGGAGAUGGCGGCCGCCGUGGGAUCUUCGUCUGAGCCGGCGGUUUCAGAACAGCCGGCGGAGCUGUCUGCCGCGGUGCGGGCGAGCAUCGAGCGGAAGCGGCAGCGGGCGCUGAUGCUGCGCCAGGCCCGGCUGGCGGCCCGACCUUACCCGGCGACGGCGGCUGCGGCUACCGGAGGUGUGGCUAAUGUAAAAGCAGCCCCGAAGAUAAUUGACACAGGAGGAGGCUUCAUUCUGGAAGAGGAGGAGGAAGAAGAACGUACAAUUGGAAAAGUUGUUCAUCAACCAGGACCUGUAAUGGAAUUUGAUUAUGUUAUAUGUGAAGAAUGUGGUAAAGAAUUUAUGGAUUCUUACCUAAUGAACCACUUUGAUUUGACAACUUGUGAUAACUGCAGAGAUGCUGAUGAUAAACACAAGCUUAUAACUAAAACAGAAGCAAAACAAGAAUACCUUCUGAAAGAUUGUGAUUUAGAAAAAAGAGAACCAGCUCUUAAAUUUAUUGUGAAGAAGAAUCCUCAUCAUGCACAAUGGGGUGAUAUGAAACUCUACUUAAAAUUACAGAUUGUGAAGAGGUCUCUUGAAGUUUGGGGUAGUCAGGAAGCAUUAGAAGAAGCGAAGGAAGUUCAACAGAAAAACCGAGAAAAAAUGAAACAGAAGAAGUUUGAUAAAAAAGUAAAAGAAUUACGGCGAGCAGUAAGAAGCAGUGUAUGGAAAAAGGAGACAGUUGCUCAUCAACAUGAGUAUGGACCAGAAGAAAACCUAGAGGAUGACAUGUACCGGAAGACUUGUACCGCAUGUGGCCAUGAACUGACAUACGAGAAAAUGUGAUCUUUACUCAGUAAAAAGCGAUUCCAAAUGGGCAGCAAGAACUUCUUGGGAAAAAAAAAAAAAAAACACCUUCCCAGCAAGUAACUAGGGGUUCAGGCUGCUGACAACAGCACUACUACAUUGGGAGACAAGAAGCUCUAAAAUCACCACAAGGACGUAGUUUCAGAUUCCACUUACUACCUGUGGACCUUGGGUAAGUUACUCCAUGGGCCUGUUUUUCUGUCAGAUGGGUAUAAUAUAAGGACUUUCAUGAUGAUUAAAUAUGGUGAAUCUAUAGCAUCUGGCACGUAACAGCCAGUUGUUAAUGAGCACAUCAUAUCAUCAAGACCAGUAUAGUUAAUAGACUUUUCCAGUUGAGGUGGGCUUCUAGUCACUCUUCACCUUCAUCAAUUUAGGACAAUCCUGGUAUCCAGCUAUCACUGACAGCCAGAUCUGCUUUACUCAGGUUGCCAAGUUCUGUCCUCAUCUUUCCUUUUCAGGUAUAACUGUAGAUGAGUAAGUUAUACAAGUCGCUGCCAAAUGCUUUCCAGGAAAAGCAAACAAACUUAUCUUCAUAUGAACUGCUUUCUGAAUAAUUUCCUGGGAGAUUGAGAGUUAAGGAAAAGUAUAUGUUCACUUUGACAAACGCAUGUUAAAUGGCAUCAGCACAGUUUAAUAGAAUCGAUUUAUUGCAAGGUAUGACGUACAGUGACAUGCCAUUCUUUUGUCUGUGUGAGCUUCAUUAGUGGGGAGAGCAACUGUUGAAUGUUUGCUCUUGUACCUUUAUUUCUUCAAAAUUCAGUCUCUGAUUCAGUUUUUUCAUAUACCUAGCUGCCAGACUGGGUCAGAGCAGGGUUACAUCAGUGAGCAACUGUUAGAAGCAACCAUUACACAUGAAGAGAUGAAGAGAGGGUCCAAGAGAAAGGAGGUGAAAACCUAGAAAUUCCUCUAGGAUUUGGAUCAACUAGGCUCUCCAAAGAGAAUGGCAAUUAGGAGUCUGAAUGAUACAAAGCCAAUUUAAGCCUAAAUAUUGUGAUGAGCAGCAGCAGGAACAAAUGGACACUGAAGGGCUUACAGGUGCUACAUAAUAACCUCCUGACAGAUUUGAUGACUUUUUAAAAUGGAAAAUCCCUGUGGCU